rnacentral:lncRNA from 1 species
UUGUGAAAUGUUUGCAUGGGGAGUUGCAUGUUUAUUGAGUUUUGUACUUUUCUUGAUAUUAAUUUUCCUCAAAUGCUUCGCAAUUUAAAUUUUGGGCUCAUAUUUCAAAAUUCCUAUUCUCCUGUCUGUUGAACCAGGUUCUGAUGACAUGAGUUUGCCUCUGAUAACCACAGCAGAGGAAACACAGGGCAGUGUGAGGAAGGCUGAGUCCUCUCAGUCAGGAGGGCCUUUCUAGCCCACCUAGAAAUAGUGCAGAUUUCUUGCUACCCAGGGUCUUGCUGUGCCUCUUGUCACCAGUGCUCUGGCCUGUGUGCACAUACUCACUGUGACACAGUUUAGCAUGAGAGAGGUGGGGAAGGGGGCGAAGGCAGCUGGCUGAUCCUCCAAAAGCCCCCAGAUAAUCACCCUGACUCCUGCCCCAGGGCUCCUUCCUGUUCCCUAUUUCCAUAAAGGGCAGAGCUUUCUCAGAACUCACAGCCACCUUCACAGAAGUCAUCUCCUAUAGAUUUUUUUGUUUGUUUGUUUUUUGAGACGGAGUCUCACUCUGUCCCCCAGGCUGGAGUGCAGUGGCAAGAUUUCGGCUCACUGAAACCUCCGCCUCCUGGGUUCAGCAAUUUUCCUGCCUCAGCCUCCCGAGUAGCUGGAACUACAGGUUUGUGGACUCUUACAAAAGGAACAGUCGAAUUGAUUCAGCAUCAGCUAAGCAUGGAAGAAAAAAAAAUAUGUAACUGUGAAAACAAAAACAAAACAGAUUUCUGGCUGCUGUCCUCAGAAGCCUCCCGCACAGACGAUGUUCCUGACAGGAUCAACAAACGUCGCAUUUCACUGUCCCACAGUGCAGCUUCGUCCAUCAGCCACUGACUGGCAUGGGCCAGGAGCAGUGUUGGUCUCGGUGACAGUGACUUCCUUGCCCUGCUCUGAAUGAGUGUCCUUUCUGUGAAAGUAGGUCUCAUGGUUCUAGGGCUGAUCCCAGCGCCAUCCCACAACAUUUCAGUGUGCCCGACAGCGUGCCUGGCAAGCAGCGAGCUCCUGACAAUUGGAAGCUGCUAAUGCUGUUACAGACAUCUGCAAGCAAGUCAGAUCAGCCAGCUUCCAUCACGUGAGACACCUUGGAGGACAAAGCCACAUUGUGUGGAGGAAAACACACCACCAUUCAGGCCCAUCGUCAUCCUGCUUUCUCCUAUACUCAGUCUCCCACAGUGCCAGGUAGUUUUCUGCCUGUACUAAGAAGGGUGAAUGGAAAGGUGAGAUGUAAAAACAAACAAACAAACAAGGGCUCGAAAUGUCUAUGGGAAGAUAAAAUUGUAGCAGUGCUUUAGAAAACAAGAAGCGCAUGAUUAAAUGGACUGUUGUUUUCUUUAGAAUGCGGGUAUUAUCAUUGGUAUUGAGGUGACGCAUUAGGACUUUGAGGUGCCUCCCCCACCCUGGCCUCUGCGCUGGCAGUGAGAACCCAGCCCGUGCUAUCUUCACAGUUCUCAGCCCAUGGAAGCACAGGCCACCUGGGCUCCUGCAAACACCAGACGUGUAAUUAGAGGCUCCUGGGCUGGGAUGAUGUGGUGUGCAGACAAGUCUUAUCACGCGUCUGAGCCGCUGUGGGUGCCUGGAGUUGCCUCUGCAGCCCGGAGCGGAUGAGCGGAGGCUCCCGUGACUCACCCAACUGCAGGAACUGUCAACUGGCUUCUGCCCAGCCAAGAACUUUUAUCAAUCACUAAGUAGAGACACUGUGUACAAGGACACCGGUUCAUCCAAGAACAUCAGGACAGCCAGGAAUUCAAAACACAAAACACAGCUUCCUGCAUGUUGCACCCCAGGCGGCUCUGAGGCUCAGCCCAAGGAAGGUUUGGGGCUCGGGCCAGAAAGACACGAUUCACUCUGACUUACACAAGAGGGGAGUGUACAAAAGUCAUGCAGUCUCAGGGGAAGGCACUGGGCUAAACCCUCAUGACUGUAAAAUGAAGAAAUAGGCAUGAAGCAUGACUAGGGUGUUUAUUUGACGAGGACCCAGAGUUAUGUCCAAGGAAUGAAGGCGUUGCCUUUCUACAACAGAGCAAAAUGUCAAGUUAACUGAUAACAUGUACAUUCCUCAGGACUGGUCCCUCAGUGAGACAGCGUUUUUAGCGGGGAAAAAAAGAACAAAUAUAAGUGUUUUCCUGGAUGCUGUUUUAGGGAGCUUGCUACAGGUUUACUUGCUUGCGGUUCCUGGUAGGUUUCAGGAUUCCCAGGGUGAGAGGUGAUGGGCCAAAGAGAGGCACGCUAAACUGAUAGCCUGAGAUCACAGCUUCCUUCCUUCCUUUCCUUCCUCCCUUCCUUCCUUUUCUUUUUUUUUUUUUGAGAUGGAGUCUUGUUCUGUGGCCCAGGCUAGAGUGCAGUGGCGCGAUCUUGGUUCACUGCGAACUCCGCCUCACGAGUUCAACUGCCUCAGCCUCCGAGUAGGUGGGAUUACAGGCGCCCACCACUGCGCCCGGCUGAUUUUUGUAUUUUUAGUAGAGACGGGGUUUCACCAUCUUGGCCAGGCUGGUCUCAAGAUCCACCCGCCUCAGCCUCCCAAAGUGCUGGGAUUACAGGCGUAAGCCACCGUGCCUGGCCUUCUUUUUCUUUUUCUUUUUUUUUUGAGACGGAGUCUUGCUCUGCUGCCCAGGCUAGAAUGCAGUAGUGCGAUCUCCGCUCACUGCAAACUUCGCCUCCCAGGUUCAAGCCAUUCUCCUGCCUCAGCCUCCUGAGUAGCUGGGAUUACAGGCAUGCACUACCAUGCUCGGCUAAUUUUUGUAUUUUUAGUAGACGGGAUUUCACCAUGUUGGUCAGGCUGGUCUCGAACUCCUAACCUCAAGUAAUCUGCCCACCUUGGCUUCCCAAAGUGCAGGGAUUACAGGCAUGAGCCACCAUGCCCAGCCCCCACAGCUCUCUCUCUAAGACAAGUGCAAACUAGUACCUGGAAAGGAGUCCUUUCUUUCCAUUCCCGAGCCCCCUCCCCACACCAAAACCCCACCUGCUGCCAUGUGGCGGGGACGCUGAGGAACACUGACUAUCACAGAGCUGCCUUAAUGUAAAUGAUUUCCUCAGGUGCAGAAAAACAUACACACCAAGUAUGGUUUGCCACUCUGAAUUCUGGACAGAUAACAUGACGGCAGAAGUAAGCUUGUUUAAACACGCUCUAGUAAUAGCUUCUUAGUGGCUGAGGUUAAAGCAUAGUGAAAUUUGAUACAUUCAGGUGAAAAGCAAACAUGAAAAUUUGCAUCCUCCCAGCAAUCAAAUUACAUUAGACAUGGCUAAAUCAUGAUUUCAUGUAGUUAACAAGCAGUGAAGGGUGAGGCCAACCAAGUUCAGACAAAUUGAACCUUCUACCCAAUUCUACUCUCCUCUCCUCCUUUCUCCGAAUAAAACCCAAUACUCCUCUUUAACAAGUUGUAUGAUUCACAUGCCGAGAGGAAAAGGGCCAGGUUGUUUGUCAAUUGAUCUAGUCUAAAGAAAACAAGUCCUUGACUGUAUUUUAGUUUGAACAAAACUUAUUUUCCUAAGGAUAAGAAUACCUCGAAACUCUAGUACUAAGUUAGAAAUUCACACUAUGCCUCCUGGCUUGUCACGCACUUCCAAUUUGAAAAUAUGGAACCUCAAGGCUGUAGAUAUUUGAGGCCCUUAAGAGAAAAACAAUUCAUGUUUUUUUGUGUGUGUGUUUUUUUUUUUUUUUUGAGACAGAGUCUGGCUCUGUCGCCCAGGCUGUAGUGCAGUGGUGUGAUCUCGGCUCAGUGCAACCUCCACCUCCUGGGUUCAAGCAGUUCUCCCUCCUCAGCCUCCCGAGUAGCUGGGACUACAGGCACACGCCACCAUGCCUGGCUAAUUUUUGUAUUUUUAGUAGAGAUGGGGGUUUCACUAUGCUGGCCAGGCUGGUCUCGAACUCCUGACCUCGUGAUCUGCCCGCCUCAGCCUCCCAAAGUGCUGGGAUUACAGACGUGAGCCACCGUGCCCGGCCAUGAAUUCUUAAAAGUGUAAAGGACUGUUUUUAUUAGAGCAAAUGCAAAUUAACCUUGCAGGAAACCAUGGCAGAUCAAAGUUAACAUGCCUUAAUUUUAUCUUUUCAAUGACAAUGGCCAUAAUGCAUUAUUUACAUGACUCUCUCUCUC